rnacentral:tRNA from 1 species
UUUAUGGUAGUUUAAAUUAGAAUAAUAAUUUGUGACAUUAUUGGUGAAGUAAUUCUCUAAAU